AUCUAUCCUUUUAUCUCUUUAGGAAGAUGGCGCAUCGCAUGUAUACACGUGGAAGCAAUGUCUCAAAAACCUAUAUUUUAUGCUUUGGUCCAUAUUAGGCUUUAAUAAAGGCCGCUGUGUAAAUGCUUGAAAAGCACAAUGGCUUGAAGACUAUUUUCCAUAGAUCUGGAUUACUUCAAAAUGAAGGAAAGAACUAUCCUCUUGCAUUUGCUUCCAUUUGGAAGAUGGAAUGUUACUUAAUCCAGAAAGUCUGAACAAAGGAAAAGAUUCAGUUGCAAGAAAUGAUUAAUUGCUUCCUAUGACCUUAAGCGAAAGGUCUGCUUGAGGGAGAAUUUCUUUAACAAAGAUGUAACCAGUAUUGUGAAAAGAUCUUUGAUACAACAUGGGGCGUGACAUAUAAAGUACUGUUCAUCAUUAAUUCAAUUGUGUCAAAUAAAAUAUAUUUUUUGAGAAA